GCUAAUGAAACUUUGUUGGACAAAGGGCGGUGUUGAGGCAGAACCUGAUUUGCAUAAACCCCAAUAUAACAGCGUGGCCCCAAGGCAAUAGACGUCAGUCUUCUGUAGCGAGGGUUGCAACUGAGUUACCGGGUUUUUUUUUAAACUAAGUUGGUCGCCAGCCUUCCGAGAUGGCAGACGAGGAAACCAAGCCCGCAGUCAGUAGCGAUCUGCAAAAGGAGAUCACUGGCUUCAAGAAGGAAAAACUUCAACAAACUGAGACCAAGGAAAGCAAAAUCUUGCCUGAUGCAGCCACAAUCGAAGCAGAAAAGAAAGCAGCGAAAGAAGCACCGGGACAAUGAGAGUAGCUUUCUAAUUUGUGCUGUACAUUCCACAAGCAUUGCCUUCUAGCUAUAUACCUUUGUAAAAGGAAAAAAAAACCCUUUUGGAUGCAGUGUGAUGGGAUUAAGUGAACUGGCUGGCUCCUUCCCCAUUCCACUUCCCCUUUCCUUGUUUCUUCCCUGCCCUCAUUUUGUUUCUUCCUGGCCUUGUUUUUUGUUUAAAAAAAAACACCAAUUGGAACUACUGACCAUCUGACUGGCUUGUCUUCUGAUGGCACUAAAGAGCUUGCGUGUCAAGAGGAGCCUGGAAAACGACUGCAGGAAUCUUAACCAAAUGUCUGUGAAUGGAGUAAAUCUGCCAAGGGCCUGUGUUAGGUUAAAUCGAACGUAGACUGCCAAUUUUUGUUAGGUUCCUUGGAUUGCAGAGCAACUGUUUUUGAUAUGCAAAUAAACAUUCAAAAUCGAA